CUACGGGAGGCAGCAGUGAGGAAUAUUGCACAAUGGGGGGAACCCUGAUGCAGCAACGCUGCGUGGAGGAUGACGCGUUUCGGUGUGUAAACUCCUUUUAUAUGUCAAGAAAAUGACGGUAGCAUAUGAAUAAGCACCGGCUAACUCCGUGCCAGCAGCCGCGGUAAUACGGAGGGUGCAAGCGUUACUCGGAAUCACUGGGCGUAAAGGACGCGUAGGCGGGUUGGAAAGUCAGGUGUGAAAUCCUACAGCUUAACUGUAGAACUGCACUUGAAACUUCUAAUCUAGAGUAUGGGAGGGGGAGAUGGAAUUAGUGGUGUAGGGGUAAAAUCCGUAGAUAUCACUAGGAAUACCUAAAGCGAAGGCGAUCUCCUGGAACAUUACUGACGCUAAGGCGUGAAAGCGUGGGGAGCAAACAGGAUUAGAUACCCUCGUAGUC
rnacentral:rRNA from 1 species